GAUGAACGCUAGCUACAGGCUUAACACAUGCAAGUCGAGGGGCAGCAUGAACUUAGCUUGCUAAGUUUGAUGGCGACCGGCGCACGGGUGAGUAACGCGUAUCCAACCUGCCCUUUACGCGGGGAUAGCCUUCUGAAAGGAAGUUUAAUACCCGAUGAUAUCUCUAGAAGACAUCUGAAAGAGAUUAAAGAUUUAUCGGUGAUGGAUGGGGAUGCGUCUGAUUAGCUUGUUGGCGGGGUAACGGCCCACCAAGGCGACGAUCAGUAGGGGUUCUGAGAGGAAGGUCCCCCACAUUGGAACUGAGACACGGGUCCAAACUCCUACGGGAGGCAGCAGUGAGGAAUAUUGGUCAAAUGGACGAGAGUCUGAACCAGCCAAGUAGCGUGCAGGAUGACGGCCCUAUGGGUUGUAAACUGCUUUAUAAGGGAAUAAAGUAGGGAGUCGUGACNCUUUUUGCAUGUACCUUAUGAAUAAGGACCGGCUAAUUCCGUGCCAGCA
rnacentral:rRNA from 1 species